rnacentral:rRNA from 1 species
CCCUUAGAUGUUCUGGGCAGCACGCGCGCUACAAUGGUCUUCGCAAACGGAUGCAUUCUCGAAGGAGAAUGCCAAUCUUGGAAUCUAUGCCUUGGUCGGGACAGUUGCUUGCAAUUUUUCGACUCGAACCAGGAAUUCCUUGUAAUCGUGAUUCAUCACAUCACGAUGAAUACGUCCCUGCCCUUUGUACACACCGCCCGUCGUUUCUUCCGACUGAUACGGAUUGUGAGUUGCAUGGAUUCUUCAUUGGAGAAAUGCUGCGAAUGCUUCGUAUUGGAGGAAGAAAAAGUCGUAACA